rnacentral:rRNA from 1 species
AGAAUAGACUACCCGGGUAGUCCACGCCCUAAACGAUGCGAACUGGAUGUUGGGUACAUUACGGUACUCAGUGUCGAAGCUAACGCGUUAAGUUCGCCGCCUGGGGAGUACGGUCGCAAGACUGAAACUCAAAGGAAUUGACGGGGGCCCGCACAAGCGGUGGAGUAUGUGGUUUAAUUCGAUGCAACGCGGAGAACCUUACCUGGCCUUGACAUCUGUCGAAUCCUGCAGAGAUGCGGGAGUGCCGCAAGGAACGACAAGACAGGUGCUGCAUGGCUGUCGUCAGCUCGUGUCGUGAGAUGUUGGGUUAAGUCCCGCAACGAGCGCAACCCUUGUCCCUAGUUGCCAGCACGUAAUGGUGGGAACUCUAGGGAGACUGCCGGUGACAAACCGGAGGAAGGUGGGGAUGACGUCAAGUCCUCAUGGCCCUUACGGCCAGGGCUACACACGUACUACAAUGGUCGGUACAGAGGGUUGCGAAGCCGCGAGGUGGAGCCAAUCCCAGAAAACCGAUCCCAGUCCGGAUCGGAGUCUGCAACUCG